rnacentral:lncRNA from 1 species
UUCAUGAAAUAAUACCAUCAUUUCCUAAUCACACUGCUUCAUUUCUAUACCCAAUAUUGAUAGCUAAGUUGUAGCAUCUCUAACAUAAAUAUGGGUUUAAUUAACGAUGAGAAGUCCAGGAAAUACAACUUGCAGCAGAAAAUGACUUACACAUGAAAGUGUAGUACCCCUGAAAUUGUUCCAUAAUGACAUUUUUAGUCUCAUAGCAUCAGCUCUUUCUUCCGAAAUCUGACAAGAGAACAUGGGAAUUCUGAUAAGAAUUUAGACAGGUCCUCAUUAUGAUUAAGAGGAUCAGACGUCUCCUAUUAAGGGGGAGAGCUUUAAUUCUGAACCUCUUUUUCCACAUUGACAGGUAUUCUGGAUGUAUGCUGCGUGGGAACAACUAAUGAGUGCUCACCUCAUCUCUGCUGUUUCGGGAAGAGUUUUGAUUUUCUUACAAGAGAUACCUGUUGCCCAGGAAACUCCUGCUGCUAGCCUUCCCAGGAGUGGCCCUGGGUCUAAUUGGACUGUGUCCUGCCAGGGAAGGGCUAAAAGCAAAGAAAGCCAGGAAGUGUGGAGCUUCAUCCCAAGGGUAGAGCUUGGACUGUGGUAAGGGAUUCAGGGUGAUGAAACCAACACAGAAAUUGACUUACCAGUGCCCCAUGUCAAGUAAACCAUGGAAAGAAUAAAAUCCUCCUAUACAGCUGGUCA